GAUGAAGAACGCAGCGAAAUGCGAUAAGUAAUGUGAAUUGCAGAAUUCAGUGAAUCAUCGUAUCUUUGAACGCACAUUGCGCCCCUUGGUAUUCCGAGGGGCAUGCCUGUUCGAGCGUCAUAUUAACCACUCCCGCUUGCGGGGUCUUGGGCUUCGCCUCCGGGCGGGCCUUAAAAUCAGUGGCGGUGCCGUCGGGCUCUACGCGUAGUAAAUUUUCUCGCGAUAGGGUCCCGGUGGAUGCUUGCCAACAACCCCCAACUUCUUAAGGUUGACCUCGGAUCAGGUAGGGAUACCCGCUGAACUUAAGCAUAUCAAUAAGCGGAGGA
rnacentral:misc_RNA from 1 species